AUUGAACGCUGGCGGCAGGCCUAACACAUGCAAGUCGAACGAGUGGCGGACGGGUGAGUAAUGUCUGGGAAACUGCCUGAUGUAGGGGGAUAACUACUGGAAACGGUAGCUAAUACCGCAUACCAUCGGAUGUGCCCAGAUGGGAUUAGCUAGUAGGUGGGGUAAAGGCUCACCUAGGCGACGAUCCCUAGCUGGUCUGAGAGGAUGACCAGCGAGACUGGAACUGAGAAACGGGCCAGACGCCUACGGGAGGCAGCAGGGGGGAAUAUGGGAGAAUGGGCGCAAGCCGGAUGCAGCCAUGCCGCGUGUAUGAAGAAGGCCUUCGGGGUGUACAGUACUUUCAGCGGGGAGGCGGUACCCGCAGAAGAAGCACCGGCUAACUCCGUGCCAGCAGCCGCGGUAAUUC
rnacentral:rRNA from 1 species